rnacentral:rRNA from 1 species
UUCUGCCCUAUCAACUUGUUGGUAGGGUAGUGGCCUACCAAGGUUUUGACGGGUAACGGGGAAUCAGGGUUCGAUUCCGGAGAGGGAGCCUGAGAAACGGCUACCACUUCCAAGGAAGGCAGCAGGCGCGCAAAUUACCCAAUCCAGAAUUUGGGAGGUAGCGACGAGAAAUACCGAGGUGGGAUGAAUACAUUUCACUAUCGGAAUGAACGUAACUUAAAACCUUCGUUGAGUAACAACUGGAGGGCAAGUCUGGUGCCAGCAGCCGCGGUAAUUCCAGCUCCAGUAGUGUAUUUCAAAAUUGUUGCGGUUAAAACGCUCGUAGUCGGAUUAGAAGAACGUUUCAAUGUUCGGUGACUGCGCGCGAAUGCGAUAGCAGUCGACCGAGUGACGUUCUUUUGUCGCAAGUUCUGGUUGUGAGCUUCAUCGCUUGGAGCCAGACGCUUGCGAAGCGUGCCUUGAAUAAAGCAGAGUGCUCAAAGCAAGUGUAACGCUAGUAUGUAAUAGCAUGGAACGAAUACAUCAUAUUUGAGCAGGUUACAGCAGUGCUUUCGUGCUGCUAGUUGAGUUUGUCGGUGGGGUGUGUUGGUUUAGGUUGUGUCUGUUUUCGGACUUGCGCGGCUUAAGUCGGCAUGCCGCUGUGCACGGUUGGCAGUAGUUGUGUAACAGCAGCUGCUGUCGUCAAAUCGUGUACAGAACUCAACUGCCUGUCGGUUAAGAGGGACAUUUGAGGGCGCUAGUACUUGAUGGCGAGAGGUGAAAUUCUUAGACCCAUCAAAGACUGACGAAUGCGAAAGCAU